CCAACAUUUCACAUGUUGACAUUUUUCAAAAUACUUGUAUUCUCAGGUAACCAGUGAAUCAAAGGAAAAUGUACUCAGUGAUGGCUUGCAGUUUACUUAUUAAUGAAUCGAACAAUUUAUUUUUGGGAAUGUAAUGUUUAAACAAUGUACUUCAUAUAAACUUUACCGGUUGUACUAUAUUAAUGCAUGGUGACGAAUGUUGUUACGUUUCAUAUAUAUUCAAUGUUAUGGUAUUCAAUUAAGUCACGACAGCCCUCGGACGUUUCCGACGUCUGGUUCGGGGGUGUGACAGGUUGGUGGCGGUGGUUUUUGAUAGACUUAGAUUUUAAAGUGUAUGUGUUCCUAUCCAUGUGAAUUUUCCGAAACCAAAGUUUGCGACAAAUCCAAACUCAUAUGGACCGAACUUGUUCAAUCUCGAUUCCUUGCCUUAUAGUAGCAUGAAUGCCUACCAUGUCUUCCAGGUUGUUAAGCAGCUCACCCUUACCUUAUCAAUGUACUUUCCAUUGAUCAGGGUGCCUUGCCUUUAUGCAAUCCAAUUGAGAACUCAUAGAACUCAUAUUGCAUAGUUGACUAAAUCUGGAAUGGCACAUAAACAAAAUUAUGUCAACACGAUAGGUUGCCAACCUCAAGUCGUGUGCUAGUGAUUAACUAUUGGUUUAUUCUUGAUUAGCUCUUGAACUUUUCAAGACAAUUGAGACUCCCACUGACCUCUUGACAUAUAUGAUUCUCUUAUCAAGGAACUUUCUUUGACAAAACAAAUAUUCAAGAGUUGGUGCGAAAUCUUAUCAAGACUAACACUUCACAUAACUGGUCCUCGUUGGUCUUUGUCUUAUCCAAGACAUCACAACUUACCAAUUUCAAAUGUACAAGAAUAAGAAAAACUUUUCCAAUUCCAUAAUUGUUGAGUGUUAUAAACCUACUAAAGACGUGUCACUCAAUUCGCAAUCUUGGAGUAUGACUCUAAGACUCGAUAUUGGAAUGAAGUAUGAUUGACUUCUUAAUUUAACCAUUUCCACAAUUCUCGAUUCCUCUUCUUAGACAUACAAAUGUACUAAGACUCACUUAGAGGAUCAAUUGAUAUAUGGNAAAUUUUGAAAUUUUUUUUAUUAUUUAUUUUUAAAAGGUCGUGUUUAAGGAAUUUCUUUAGAAAUUCAUAACUUCUUUAUCUGACGUCGGUUUUGGCCAGACUUUUUACCGCUAAAUUACCAUUGUCGAGACCUUCGAUUCUCGUUUAGGUCAUUCCGGCCAAGAGUCGCUCGAUCUCCGAUUUGAGUUUUUAGCUAUCUGCUGCUAAGCCGAACUUGGAAAAAUCAUAACUUAAAUAUACGAAUUCAGAUUUGGGCUUUCUUUUUACGUACGAUCACGGCUUAAUGACAUCUAUCAUAGUAGGUAAUUAAAUAGAAACUUUUUGGACAUUUUAUUUUCGAAGUUAAUUUCAUUAUCACAAAAGUGGUUACAAUAAUUGACUUUUAGGUCAUUACAUAGAGUUGAAAUAUCGGGUUGUCACAUGACGCAAUGCAUGUUGCAUGAUUCCAAGUUUUUGUCCAAUUGAAACUUGGGUGAUGAGAAACUCUCCUUAUUUGGUAAAUUCUCGACAUUUCACAAAUAACAUAAUCAAGAAUCACAUCCAAUUCUACAUUGCUAAAAUUAGAAAUACAUAAACAUCCAUUUUCACAUAUGCCAUUGCAAGGAUAAAUAAAUAAGACGAAAUCAAAAUUCAUUUUAUUGUGGAAAAACUUGUCCUUACAAUGCAAUUCAAAUGAAAACUAUGCUAUUUCAAUUUCUAAGCAAUCUAUUCUAACUCUAAAGUAGUAGCUCAGAAAUCCGAUCUUCAAGCAAUGCGAUCGAAAUCCAUUUCUUCACGAUCAGAUUCAACUUACUUCUUCCCUUAACCUUCCUCUCUUUUCUUCGAUCCUACAAAACAUCAAAAUGUACUCUUAUCACAUCAUGUAUUGAUAAUCAAAGAAUAGGAACUUAUAGAGUUAGUUAUUGGAUUUUACCUGAAGUAAAGCCAUACGUCUUGACUCUCCCAUCUCUUAGAUCUCUCAGGUAGUUUGGGCAGCUUCGUCUCCAAUGCCCUUUCUCUUGGCAAUAAAAGCAAAUGGAAUCCUUUGGCACAACACAUGGGACAAUCUCAUACUUAGUCCUUUAUGUACUUCCAAUGUUGUCAGUGUCCAUUGAAGUUUGGAAGUUUGAUUCACCAGACAAAGUUGCUUGACCAGCACGCCAAAUCAUUGCUGAUUCGACAGCUAUAAUUAAACAAGUGAGAUCAAUGAGGGUCACCUAUCAAUGUGUGACUUGAUCUCUAAGAUGUGUGCACACACAAGUUUCUCAUCUUCGUGUUUACUUGCCAAAAGGGCUUGACUGAGCUUGAACUUUUCAAGCCUUCGAACUUGUGGGUCAGGGAGAAUCAUUGGAGGAGGUGGAGGAAGUGAAGCAUGAUCUCUAGUUCCUCGAUCAUAUCGUGGAAUAUCAUCUUCAUUUGGAAGACUUGUUCCAUGGGAUUUGGGAAGACCAUUUUUAGAUUCAGACAUCUACAAAAUGGGAGAACUUCAAGUUAGUUGAUAAGAAUCCUUGAUGUAACACCCAAAUGAAACAUCAAGGCUAGGAUCCAACACAAUACUCUACAACCUAGAAGAGGGAUGUCGUAAUCUAGUUGCAAAAUAUUUGAAGGUAGGUAAAUGACGAUUUACCAAUUUCCACCAUGAAAAACGAAAAAGAAAUUUAAGUUUUAAAUGAAUUGAAACUCCUAGAUCUUUUGCGGUUCAUUGAACUUUUCAAUGGCAUGUUUAAUCUCGAUUAUGCCCUACUAUUUGCGACUGGGAUGCCGAGGAUCACAAACAAGGUAUGAAUAACCAUUCAAAUCACGUGGUGCACUCAAUACUACUAUCACCUAAUCAAUGUGUCGGUUAGCCACACACACUCCAUUGAUCUAUGAUAAACAUCGAGCCACCCUUCGCCACCAAUGUCAAUCCCAAAUUAGUGUGUCGGUUAACCACACAUGCUCCACUAACGUCUCGACAAGGGUACAAAGUGUUAUUCCAUGGAUUAGCAUAAAAUUUCACAUUUUGCCUAAAGUAACUAUGAUUUGGGAAUUUUGAAAAACAUUUAGUUAAUUUGUACUUCAUUAUACUUAUAAUGGAAGGUUUCUGUCCUAUCUUACCUGUUCGGCUAACGACCCUCCAUUAGUCAAGAGUGCAGUGGGUAAGAGUGGAUACCCAUUCAAUCGCCAUUUUAUAGGCAAUUUCCUUAAACACCCCUUAUACACCAGCUCCGUGAAUGAGGCCUACUAACGGUAAGACUGACUCUUUACUCAUAUAUAUAAUAUUAGACUUUUAAUGUUACAUAUACAUAUAGUAUAGGGUGUAUUUUACACUUUUAAAAUACUAGGUGGUUUUAUUAACUUUCUCUUUAAAUUAAACUUUUAAUUAACUUAACAAAACCAUGAGGGUGUAAUUUUAACUUUUCAAAAUACUAGGGUUUUAGAAUUUAAAUAUUACAUAAUUAAAGUAUUAAUCAAAAUUUUAAAUUCCAAAACUUGAGGGCAAGUUUCGAAACAUUUCAAAACAUUAGGGUUUAGAAUUUAAAUAUUUCAAAAUCAAACUUUUAAUCAAGAAUUUAAAUUCCAAAACUUGAGGGCAAGUUCUGAAACUUUUCAACACAUUAGGGUUUAACUAUUUAAAUUUCAAAACCAAAGCUUUUAAGUUCAAAUUUAAACUAUAAAACCUAAAGGGGAAAUUUGAAACUUUUCAAAUAAGGCAAUUAUCUAAUUUUGACCUAGUCAAAUAUCUUGCAGGAUAAUUCAUCAAAUAACUCAAAUAAUUAAACAUUAUCUUAUAAGGUAACAAUAUUUGAUNCAUUAUCUUAUAAGGUAACAAAUAUUUGAUUAAAUGGUAAUUAUCUACUAUUUUGGUAAGGAUAUUCACCCAAAAUCAAUAAAAAUCGGAUUUUAUUAAUUAAAAACGUUUAUGGUAAGUAUCCUAAGCCAAAACAGUAAGAAAAUCGCCAAAAAAAACGUUGCCAGACCCUCGAACUCGUCGAGUCAGAGACAGGACUCAUCGAGUCAGCCAUUCAACUAUCAAAUAAGCAUCAAUUCACUAACAAACAACCCUAGGCCCUGAUACCACUGAUGGGUUUUGUGCAUAACAUCAAUCCUAUGGUGUUCAUGCAACCCUAAUUGCUUGGAUCUAGUUUUUCUACUUUGAACAUGCAAUAAACUUCCAAGACUUACAAACCCUAGAUCUAGCAUACUAGUAAUCAAAUUAACAUAUAGAUUAGGGUUUAGAUCUUACCUUGAUUGUUAUGUAGCAAUAACAAUCAAUUCCUUGGCUUCAGAAAGCUUAGUGCCUCAAGUUUUGCCCCUCUAAUGGAGUCACAAACACCACUAAGCAACUUGGAUGAAGAGAGAAGAGAUAGGAGGCACAAAAAACGGCUAGAAACCCUAAAUGAACACUUAGCCACGUUUUUGGGUCUCAAGGGUAUAGGUAGGCAGUUAGGGUUAUCUAACAAGGAAACCCUAAUUUGACUGCUUAAGACCUAAGCAGCCCAUGGACCCCUUCUGGAACAUGCCUUGGACUAUUUCUAAUGGGCUUCCCCAUAGAAUUCGUCCAACCUAUUAUUCCAAGGUGAUCCAUAGCCCAAUUGCAAUUAUCUUAUAAUUACAAUUCUAGUCCCCUAAGUUUGAUUAAUCUCUUUUAGCCACAAAAUUAAUUCUUUAUUAAUUCUUGACUAAUAUUAAUUAAAAAAUAUGAUUUCUCCUUUAAUAUAUUAUUCUCAUAAUAUAUUAAUAAAUCAUAAUUAAACCUUUCUCUCCUUAAUUCAUCAUACAAGUUGCUAUGGUGAAGGCAACCCAAAAGGACCAUGCUCAUAAUCGGGUCAAGUACAUACCAAAAUAGUUAUGGACUUAGACAUUAAUCCAACAGUGAUAGCAUAUGCAUCGCGGCAGCUGAAGCCGCAAGAGACGAGACACCCUGUCACAACUGGAAUUUUGUGUCCNUGUAAUCUAUACACUCAAGUUAAUGUGAAUCAAAAACUUAAGAACAUGGUUGACACCUACUAUUAUGACAUCAAAAACUUCAAUCAAAUACAUCAUACAAGUACUACUAAUAGUCAUCAAACAAUUGGAGACCCUAGAAGUCCUUGUUUAAGUCCAUUUUGGACUAGGACUUCCUUAUUGGAUCCAAAUGGACCAAUAAGCUUUCAAUUUGACUAUCAUGGGCUUAGGACCCUAAUUGGGCUCUAAUUGGACCCACACUAAUUUAUUUCAACAUUUUGGGCCAUGUUGGGCCUAGAAUAAAAUAAAUUAAAAUCUUUGAUCCAUGAAUAACCUAAACUAGUCCAACAAAAAUGUAAAAAUCCUACCACAUUCUUUUAGGCUUAAAACAUACCCAAACAAACUCUAAUAAUGGGCUUAGGGCAAAAAGCCCAAAUUUUUCCUUUUUCCUUCCAUGUUUUCGGCCCAAACCAAGCCCAAGAGGAAGGGUUGACUUUCAAGUGACACCUCACUAUUACCUCAUGGUUAUCCAUGCAACAUAUCACAUAUACCCAUGCAUACAUCAUCUCAAAGGUCACUUCUUCCUUCCUCUCUCUCACUCUCGGCCAUAUGCAAACACACACACACACCACAAAAAUCUCUUCCAAACUCUCUAAGUCUUGAAGAACAAUCCUCCCUCCUUCUUCAAAAUUUUCGUGAAUCAAGAAGCUUCACAAGNGGAUCUUUCAAGUUAAUCAUCAUCUUAGGUAAGUUUUUACUUAUAUCCAUGAUCUAGCUACUUCAUUCCAUCAAAAACCUCUUCUAAAUCUAUUCCAACUUGUGAUCAUGCACCUUAGAAGCCACCAAACCCGAGAUCUACCAAGGAAAGGUGCUAGAGCCGAAAAUCACUUCAUUUUUCUUCCAUCUUCUCUUCAAAACCGAAAGCUUCAAACAAGGUGAACUUCAUACCCCCUAUUUUCUGUUUUUAUAAGUUUUAUAGGGGGGGGGGAAUACAAGUGAAAGUGUAGAUCUAUAUGGGUUUUGUAUGAUUUCCGGGUUUUGUAUGAUUUCCAUGCUUAUAUGUGUGUUUUUGUGUGUUAUAAUGUUGGAUCUAGCCAUAAAACCCCUCAAAACCGAGAUAUACUUUAUGUUAAAUGAUUCUAGCAUCAAAUAUAUUUCUACAUACAAAGUGUUCCAAGAAAAAUAGCUAAAUGGCUUAGUAACAUUUUCUUUGGGCUAAAAACACAAUUUUUGGACCUAAAAUGUGAAAAAUACAAAGUUAAAGGGGCCAAAUUGACAUAUCACGAAUUCUGAUGGAUGAGGUGUGUCAAAACAGUUUCAAUAAAACAAUUUCUGGAAAUAUACUCAUUUGGAAGAUUAAAAAACAUAAAUUUCAAGCUUAAUGGGCUAAAAAUGACAUUUUCGGCCCAAUAAGGCCCAUUAUGCGAAAUUUUCUGUUUUGGAGGGCCAAAACUGUGUUUUUCUGUAAAACAGUGGACUAUUAGUGUUCCAAGUCCUUUUCAAAGGUUUAAAAUGCUUUUUAAAUUUAAAAAGGACCAAAGUUGCAAAAAUUUUACCAUUUGGGCCAAAAUUGUCAAAAUUGCGAAAAAGAGGGGUUAUAACCGAGAAAACUGCAUUUUCAGGGACUUAAACUGUUUUCUAUGAAAAAUAUGCUGAAAAAUAUUAAUUUCAAUAACUUUUGGUGUUAAAAUGUCAAGAAAAUUGAUUUAAGGACCAAACCGGAAAGUAUUUAAUUAAAAGGGUUGAAAAGGUAAAUUUUACAAACAAUGAGGGGUUGAAAACAAAAAACUUUCAAGGCUAAUUCAAUACACGCAAUUUGAUCAAAUAAUGGCACCGCGACUAUCGACGAAAUACAAUACACAACAAUACCAAAAAUCGUUGUUAAACGAAUUGGUUCGGUCUCGAACCAAUAAAAAUCCGAAACUACUAACACGACGAUACUACGAUUCAUACAAGUAACGUUUGGGAAUUCAAUAUACAUGCGAGUGUGCACAGACGUCUACGCACCAUCUUUGGGCCCCAAAAGUGUAAAAUCUUGUUUGUUGGGCCUAGCUAGCCCAAUGACCUGAUCUUAAGGCCCGAAGACCUCUACCUUACGAAGUGUUGGGUUUUACCGAUCUAACACAACGUAAAAGGACUUUCAAUGGCUUGUAUACUACUGGUCCCCAAGGGUCCUUUGGUAUUGCUAGUAAAGUCGACAUUUCAUGCGAGGUGGGUCAGGGACCCCUCGUACAUUUUUUUUAUCCCCAACCGGUUAAUGGAGUCACCGGGGUCUUCGUGUCCUCUUUCUCCUCGGAUGUGGGACUACACGUAGUCAGGGCGGUUGGAUAACGUGAUUAGUACGGACGACGCCUACGGGAUCGUUAGUAUAACUAUAAACUAGUCGUUUGUGUAACGCGUGUUUGUAGUAAUUAAUCAUGCUAAAAAAUAAUCCAACGUCGCCUGGGAUUGAUACUACGCGCGUUGCAAUGGUUUCAAUGUAAAUUCAUGGAAUUCAAGGAAUUAGGAAAACAUCGGGUUUUCCUAGGGUUUUCAAUACAUACGGAUUCGAUACGCAUACAAUUUUAAAUGAACAAUUUUUACAAGUAUAGAAACAAACAAGCAUACCUAUGGAUCUUCACAAACGUUUUCAAAAGCAUUUCUUUUUAGAAAAUAUCGGAUUUUCUGGUGGUUUUCAAAAUGAUACAAAACAUUGCUUUUCAAAUACCGCUUAUGAACUCGCCAACAUUUCACAUGUUGACGUUUUUCAAAAUACUUGUAUUCUCAGGGAACCAGUGAAUUCAAGGAAAGUGUACUCAGUGAUGGCUUGCAGUUUACUUAUUAACGAAUCGAACAAUUUAUUUUGGGAAUGUAAUGUUUAAACAAUGUACUUCAUGUAAACUUUAUUGGUUGUAUUAUAUUAAUGCAUGGUGACGGAUGUUGUUACGUUUCAUAUAUAUUCAAUGUUAUGGUAUUCAAUUGAGUCACGACAGCUCCCGAACGUUUCCGCCGCCUGGUUCGGG
rnacentral:lncRNA from 1 species